rnacentral:rRNA from 1 species
ACCUACGGGAGGCAGCAGUGGGGGAUAUUGCACAAUGGGGGGAACCCUGAUGCAGCAACGCCGCGUGGGUGAAGAAGCGUUUCGGCGCGUAAACCCCUAUCGGCAGGGAAGAAGAUGACGGUACCUGACCAAGAAGCCCCGGCUAACUACGUGCCAGCCGCCGCGGUAAUACGUAGGGGGCAAGCGUUAUCCGGAUUUACUGGGUGUAAAGGGGGCUUAGACGGCAAAGCAAGCCAGGUGUGCAACCCCGCGGC